GAUGUUUAACUAUCCUCUGUUAGUAAGUUAUAACUUAUUAUUUUAAAAGAAAAAAGAGACAGAAGCAAUAGUGGCUGGCAAAAGAAACUUUUGGAGAUUUUAGUUUUAUAGAAGUCUUCUAAAAUGAUUUUAAAAGCUGUGAUGGAGGGCUUAGAGUACUAUAGGGAAUAAAAAUGUUAAGGUUAAGAAGAGCAUGUUUGGUGACAUCACUAAAGCAAGUUGAGAUAUGUCUGAGUUAAAUGCAGAAUUUGAAAGACAACCAAGUUUAAAUAAAGGAAGAUAAUAAGGUGAUGGCAAAAAUAUGGCAGUGUUUCAUCACUGCUAUGCACGGAUGGGAAGCAGCGACUAUUACUGUUGGAAUAAUAAGUAAGAUAUAGGCCAAGUGCUUCAAGACUUCUGUGCGGAGAUGAAGCGGACAUGCUGUUAGCCAAAUAACUACGCUCAGGAAUAAGGAUGGCUGGUUCAAGGGUUGGGGUCUAAAGAGAAGUAAUGCCAAAGACAUGGAUUUGGAGUCACUCUCUCAUUAUCUAACAUGUGAUGCUGAUC